rnacentral:sRNA from 1 species
UUCUCUUAUAUUGAUAUUUAUGUAAUAAAUCACUGAGGGUGAAGAAUACGUAAGGAGCUCCAUCAUCAAAUUCUUAGGUUUCUGGAAUGCAACACUACCCUCUGUUAAAUUGAUUUAAGAGAAGCGUUGUUUAUGAAUUCUGUAUACGAUGCAUUGUUGAGAAUGUUGUUAAGAAA